rnacentral:lncRNA from 1 species
CACGUUACAUGUUUUAUAAUUUAUUAUAAAUUACUUAUGAAAACAAACUGUCUUCAUGUACAUUGUAUGUGUACUACAUAUAACCUGUAUAUAUAUAAGUAUACUUAGUGCCUAUAAAAACACAACUCAUCAUUUUCAAGCCCCCUUCUUACAUGUCUUAGCCCCUUACAAUCAUAGCUUACACCAAAAACAGCUGAUUUCUUAAUUGAUUAUAGCUUGCUUGUGUAGUAUACAAUAAACAGACCAAAAUAUGACACUUUAUAUAGACCAAUGAACCCUGCCCAGACAGUAUUGUACACCAUACAAUCAGUUUCAGACAAGGCAAAAAUUACCUAGUUCAUGAUAUCAGUAAUUGUUUGAUUUUAGUCGAGCUAUUUUGAUAAUUUUCCUCAAACUACAAGCAUAA